rnacentral:rRNA from 1 species
UACGUAGGGUGCAAGCGUUAAUCGGAAUUACUGGGCGUAAAGCGUGCGCAGGCGGUUUGGUAAGACAGAUGUGAAAUCCCCGGGCUUAACCUGGGAAUUGCAUUUGUGACUGCCCGGCUAGAGUGUGUCAGAGGGGGGUAGAAUUCCACGUGUAGCAGUGAAAUGCGUAGAGAUGUGGAGGAACACCGAUGGCGAAGGCAGCCCCCUGGGUUAACACUGACGCUCAGGCACGAAAGCGUGGGGAGCAAACAGG